GGUAAUUCUAGAGCUAAUACAUGCAAACAGAGCUCCGACCGGAGACGGAAGGAGCGCUUUUAUUACAUCAAAACCAAUCGGUGGCGGUUCCCGUCAUCGUACAACUUGGUGACUCUGAAUAACUUUACGCUGAUCGCACGGUCUCGCACCGGCGACGCAUCUUUCAAAUGUCUGCCUUAUCAACUGUCGAUGGUAGGUUCUGCGCCUACCAUGGUUGUAACGGGUAACGGGGAAUCAGGGUUCGAUUCCGGAGAGGGAGCCUGGGAAACGGCUACCACAUCCAAGGAAGGCAGCAGGCGCGCAAAUUACCCACUCCCGGCACGGGGAGGUAGUGACGAAAAAUAUCGAUACGGGACUCAUCCGAGGCCCCGUAAUCGGAAUGAGUACACUCUAAACCCUUUAACGAGGAUCAAUUGGAGGGCAAGUCUGGUGCCAGCAGCCGCGGUAAUUCCAGCUCCAAUAGCGUAUAUUAAAGUUGUUGCGGUUAAAAAGCUCGUAGUCGAAUCUGUGUCCCGCGCCGCCGGUUCAUCGUUCGCGGUGUUAACUGGCGUGCCGCGGGACGUCCUGCCGGUGGGCUUAGCUCGCGAGGGCGGCCCAACUCAAUCCCGCCGCGGUGCUCUUCAUUGAGUGUCGAGGUGGGCCGGCACGUUUACUUUGAACAAAUUAGAGUGCUUAAAGCAGGCUAAAACUUCGCCUGAAUACGUGUGCAUGGAAUAUUGGAAUAGGACCUCGGUUCUAUUUUGUUGGUUUUCGGAACCCCGAGGUAAUGAUUACUACGAACGGAUGGGGGCAUUCGUAUUGCGACGUUAUAGGUGGAAUUCUUGGAUCGUCGCAAGACGGACAGAAGCGAAAGCAUUUGCCAAAAACGCUUUCAUUGAUCAAGAACGAAAGUUAGAGGUUCGAAGGCGAUCAGAUACCGCCCUAGUUCUAACCAUAAACGAUGCCAGCUACCGAUCCGCC
rnacentral:rRNA from 1 species